rnacentral:rRNA from 1 species
UAAUACAGAGACUGCAAGCGUUAUUCGGAUUCACUGGGCGUAAAGGGUGCGCAGGCGGUUGGGUGUGUCAGGUGUGAAAGCCCGAGGCUUAACCUCGGAAUUGCGCCUGAAACUACUCGACUAGAGGACUGGAGAGGGUAGCGGAAUUCACGGUGUAGCAGUGAAAUGCGUAGAUAUCGUGAGGAACACCAGAGGCGAAGGCGGCUACCUGGACAGUAUCUGACGCUCAGGCACGAAAGCGUGGGGAGCAAAAGGG